GCUCGCGCGUGCGAGGUGCAGGCACGGGGCGGGGGUGCUGCUUCGCAGGGUUUGUGGCCGCACGGCGCGGGCGCGUGCUAGGAGCAUGCCGGCGGCGGAGGCUACCUGCCAGGCUGCUGCUGCACGGGGGACGUGGCCGGCUGGCCGUACAAGGCCAGCGCGGCCGCCCAUGCUGCUGCGACGAGGAUCAAAAUUACAAGAAAAAAAAAGAUGUGUGCUACGAAUCAAGCAGCUCUCCGCCGUUCACCUAAUCUCUCUGAUUUUGUUUUGAUUAUGAAGUAAUUGAUAUUUUGCCUCAGUAAUUCAGUUCUCUGAUCUCCCACAGCUCUCUACCCCAUCUAAUUUUGUUCUAAUUUUGGUCUCGUGGAGAAUUGGUGAUUGAAAUUACUGAACCAGCAAAUUGGUGAUUGGAAUUACUGAACCAUCAUUGAACUUCGAGAUUAAGCAGAGCAGAGCGACAAGGGGAGCAGAGAAGGCAGCGGGGCUCCCAUGCUUUCUUCUCCGUGGAGCAGAUUGGGAAUUAAAAAUUACUGAAUCUUCGCUUGAAUUCGACAAAGGGGCGGUCAAAGGCUGGACGGGGUGUCACGGGCACAUGAACAAAGGCGGGGCACAAAGGACAUUUCGCCUCGCCUUGCUGACCGGGCGUCAACGUGGCCUGUCGCCGUGUCCCGCCACGUAGGCAAAAGUGGUAAAAACAUAAGAUUUCCAGCUACAGUAGUGCUAAAUCUGUAGAAGCCCGUUUAAGAGUGCUAAUCCAGCGAGUGACCUUUCUUAUAAUGGUAAAUAUGUAAAUAUCCC